GGGUGCGAGGCGGUAGUGUCGCCAGAUGUUUACGGGAAAAGUGUCGAGACAGCAGUGAGAUGAGUGAAAUGCUGACUCAGGACGCCUGCUGGAGGCCCCUCUGGUGCAGGGUUGAGCAAGGAGGAGAAGGGACAGUAGCAGGGUAGUGGCAAGAGAGGAAACACGUAUUCACACUGCCGUUACCACCGGGGCCGACCGGAAGGAGUUUGACCACUAUCAAUAAAUGAUGUGAGUUCGACGCAGCGGUAUCAGUCACCUUAACUACUCACUUAAAUAAGAGCUGGUCAUCAUCGCGCUUACACUAGGAGACUGAGUGUCACCUGAAAGUGUAACGGGUGCUACAACACCUAGCAGCCCAUAUGUCCCAGCAGUGGUGCAGCGUCGGACCCUUAAACUUCCAGGCAGGAGACACAAGAUGGACACAAGAUAAAAGAUUCUGAAGAAGCAAGGCCAAGCAUAUAUUACUGGAUAGUUUGCAGAAAUGUGUAGAUUUCCUUGAAUAGUUUCAACCAAAAUGAUUGCAAUAGCUGGAGCUUUUCAGGACUUUGUUGAAUAUUGCAGGGCAUGAAAUUCUGUAUUUCUUAUGCAUCACUAAAGGUCUCUUUUGCUUUCUUCAGACAUGUUGUGUAUUUGUAAUUUAUUUAAUUGUUUUCUAUAGGAAAUAACAUAUAAAAAUAUGUUUAAUAGCAGGCUGUGAAGAAUUGUUCCAAAUAGUAUACACCACAAGUGCUAUAUGCUUUACAUGUUAUUAAGUGUAUAAUAAGCUCAGCCAUAUUGUCCUGCAUUUAAUUUUUAGUCAGAUAAUUUCUCCCCUUUUUUACAAUUUAAGUUGUGAUUGUGUUCAUGUAUACCAGCAGUUUUUUCUUUAAUCAUAUUAGUAAAGAAGUUGUUAUUAUAUAUAUGAAGUCAGAUUAAGUGAUUUUCAAAAGCAUUAUAAUCAAGCUCAUUUAGCCUGUGUCACUCUCAAAGUUAUACGCCUCCGUGGUCUAAUGGUCAGCGUUCCUGGCUUCUACUCCGUAGGCCUGGGUUCGAAUCCCGGCCCGGGCAGUCGGCGUGCAGCUCACCCAGCUGUUCAUCCUCCCUCUCAGGCUGGUCGAUAAAUGGGUACCUGGGGAAAUCUGGGGAAGGCAAUCUAUGGUAACCCAGAUAUCACACUGGCCCUGUGUCCCGGGGUAAUGCGGGCUUCCUUCCACCACAGGCUCAAGGGCCAAUGUUAGGGAGAUGAGCACCGAGACCAUGUGCUGCUACUGCGUAUCCACCCAACCUGACUACUUUUACUCUCAAAGUAUAAAAUUGUGUGUUUGUGUGUAUGUGAGUGUGUGUGUGUGUGUGUGUGUGCAUGUGUGUGUGUGUGUGUGUGUGUGUGUGUGUGUGUGUGUGUGUGUGUGUGUGUGUGUGCGUGCGUGCGUGUGUGUGUGUGUGUGUGUGUGUGUGUCACAUCCUGGAGAGCCCAAGACUUCUCUCAAAACUCUGAUGACUCGAGAAACAGUCUUGCUUCCAACUAUAUUUUGAGAGCCAACAGUCGUCGUGAAAAUUUUCUAGGUAUAGUGGAAUGUGUCUUGACAGUGGGCAGUGCCAUUGUCUUUGAAGAACUCCACCGAGUUCUUAACGAAACACACCCAUACACCAAUUUGCUUGAUGAUUUCCUGUAUUUUAUUGCCAGUACACUAUUUAACACCUUUAAAUAUUUAAUAAUAUAUUUAUUAAUGGCAACUUUUUCAUUAUGUUCUCAACUUGUGCCAGCAACAUAUGAGUCAGUACCUUAGUAAGGUUAGGUUACAUAAAUGAAAAAAAUGC